rnacentral:tRNA from 11 species
GUGUGGCCUAGUGGUUAGGACGUUGAGCUCACAACCCAAUGGUCGUAGGUUCGACCCCGG